UUUGAGUGAAUCAAAGACUUGCAUCAAAUUAAGAUUAAGAAAAAUUAUCCAAAUCAAGCUUGCACAUUUUUAGAAAAUAUGUUUCAAUUAAUGAAUAACUUUUCUCUCAUUUUUUUUUAAAAAAGUGAAAUGAGUGAGUUCUCAAAUUUAGUUAGGAAAUUGCUUUGAGUUUUAAAAAAAUUCAAGAAAGAUCGACUUUUUCAAGACUAAAGAUUUAGAGUAUUAAAGCUAAGCAUAAGAUAUAUUUAGAAACUCAUUUUUUUUUCGUUUCUUUAAUGAAUAUUGUUGAUGCAAAAAUAUCUCUCGAGGUUAGAUUUGACUGGAGUUGGACGGUGAUGGUAGGUCGGUGACGAUCAGACGACGGCGGCAGGAUUUACAAAAAAAAUCUCUACCCCAAGAUGGUUAUGGUGGAAAUCUUCCGAUGCUCAAGUCAGAAAUUCGAUAACAAAAGAGAAGGAAUGAGCAUAUUAGGAGAGAGGAGAUCGCAUACCCAGAGGAUCCCUCUUGGCC
rnacentral:lncRNA from 1 species